GAUCCCGUAGCUCAGUUGGAUAGAGCGCUAGCCUCCGAAGCUAGAGGUCACAGGUUCAAAUCCUGUCGGGAUCG
rnacentral:tRNA from 1 species